UGAUCCUGGCUCAGAACGUACGCUGGCGGCACGCCUAACACAUGCAAGUCGAACGAAGUAGCAAUACUUAGUGGCAGACGGGUGAGUAACAUAUAGGUAUCUGCCCUUUGGCCUGGAAUAACACGAGGAAACUUGUGCUAAUACCGGAUAAGUCUUUACGGAGAAAGCUUUAUGCACCAUUGGAUGAGCCUGCACUUGAUUAGUUUGUUGGUGGGGUAAUGGCCUACCAAGACUGUGAUCAAUAGCUGAUUUGAGAGGAUGAUCAGCCACAUUGGGACUGAGACACGGCCCAAACUCCUACGGGAGGCAGCAGUGGGGAAUCUUGCACAAUGGAGGAAACUCUGAUGCAGCGAUGCCGCGUGAGUGAAGAAGGCCCUUGGGUUGUAAAGCUCUUUCGUCGGGGAAGAAAAUGACUGUACCCGAAUAAGAAGGUCCGGCUAACUUCGUGCCAGCAGCCGCGGUAAUACGAAGGGACCUAGCGUAGUUCGGAAUUACUGGGCUUAAAGAGUUCGUAGGUGGUUGAAAAAGUUAGUGGUGAAAUCCCAGAGCUUAACUCUGGAACUGCCAUUAAAACUUUUCAGCUAGAGUAUGAUAGAGGAAAGCAGAAUUUCUAGUGUAGAGGUGAAAUUCGUAGAUAUUAGAAAGAAUACCAAUUGCGAAGGCAGCUUUCUGGAUCAAUACUGACGCUGAGGAACGAAAGCAUGGGUAGCGAAGAGGAUUAGAUACCCUCGUAGUCCAUGCCGUAAACGAUGUGUGUUAGACGUUGGAAAUUUAUUUUCAGUGUCGCAGCGAAAGCAAUAAACACACCGCCUGGGGAGUACGACCGCAAGGUUAAAACUCAAAUGAAUUGACGGGGACCCGCACAAGUAGUGGAGCAUGUGGUUUAAUUCGAAGAUACGCGCAGAACCUUACCAACACUUGACAUGUUCGUCGCGACUUUAAGAGAUUAAAGUUUUCGGUUCGGCCGGGCGAAACACAGGUGCUGCAUGGCUGUCGUCAGCUCGUGUCGUGAGAUGUUGGGUUAAGUCCCGCAACGAGCGCAACCCUCACUUUUAGUUGCCAUCAUUAAGUUGGGCACUCUGAAAGAACUGCCAGUGAUAAGCUGGAGGAAGGUGGGGAUGACGUCAAGUCCUCAUGGCCCUUACGUGUUGGGCUACACACGUGCUACAAUGGUAUCUACAACAGGAAGCAAAACGGCGACGUUAAGCAAAUCCUUAAAAGAUACCUCAGUUCGGAUUGCACUCUGCAACUCGA
rnacentral:rRNA from 1 species